AGAGUUUGAUCCUGGCUCAGAAUCAACGCUGGCGGCGUGCCUCAGACAUGCAAGUCGAACGAUUAAAGCUCCCUUCGGGGAGUGCAUAAAGUGGCGCACGGGUGAGUAACACGUAAGUAAUCUACCCUCGAGUGGGGAAUAACGUUCGGAAACGGACGCUAAUACCGCAUAAUGCAGCGGCACCGCAAGGUGACAGUUGUUAAAGAUUUAUUGCUUGAGGAGGAGCUUGCGGCAGAUUAGCUAGUUGGUAAGGUAAUGGCUUACCAAGGCUACGAUCUGUAUCCGGUCUAAGAGGACGGUCGGACACACUGACACUGAAUAACGGGUCAGACUCCUACGGGAGGCAGCAGUCGGGAAUUUUGGGCAAUGGGGGAAACCCUGACCCAGUCAACGCCGCGUGAAGGAUGAAGUAUUUCGGUAUGUAAACUUCGAAAGAAUAGGAAGAAUUAAUGACGGUACUAUUUAUAAGGUCCGGCUAACUACGUGCCAGCAGCCGCGGUAAUACGUAGGGACCAAGGCGUUGUUCGGAUUUACUGGGCGUAAAGGGCGCGUAGGCGGCGCGGUAAGUCACUUGUGAAAUCUCUGAGCUUAACUCAGAACGGGCCAAGUGAUACUGCAGUGGCUACAUUGUGGAAGGGGCCAAUCGGAAUUCUUGGUGUAGCGGUGAAAUGCGUAUAUAUCANGAGGAACACCUGANGUGAAGACGGGUUGC
rnacentral:rRNA from 1 species